rnacentral:rRNA from 1 species
UACGUAGGGGGCGAGCGUUGUCCGGAAUUAUUGGGCGUAAAGAGCGUGUAGGCGGUUCGGUAAGUCUGCCGUGAAAACCUGGGGCUCAACCCCGGGCGUGCGGUGGAUACUGCCGGGCUAGAGGGUGGUAGAGGCGAGUGGAAUUCCCGGUGUAGCGGUGAAAUGCGCAGAUAUCGGGAGGAACACCAGUAGCGAAGGCGGCUCGCUGGGCCACUCCUGACGCUGAGACGUCGCAAAGCUACGGGAAGGGCGAACGAGG